rnacentral:rRNA from 1 species
CGUAGGGUGCGAGCGUUAAUCGGAAUUACUGGGCGUAAAGCGUGCGCAGGCGGUUUUGUAAGACAGGCGUGAAAUCCCCGGGCUCAACCUGGGAACUGCGCUUGUGACUGCAAGGCUAGAGUACGGCAGAGGGGGUGGAAUUCCACGUGUAGCAGUGAAAUGCGUAGAGAUGUGGAGGAACACCAAUGGCGAAGGCAGCCCCCUGGGUCGAUACUGACGCUCAUGCACGAAAGCGUGGAUAGCAAACAGGAUUAGAUACCCUGGUAGUCCACGCCCUAAACGAUGUCAACUAGGUGUUGGGUGGGUAAAACCAUUUAGUACCGGAGCUAACGCGUGAAGUUGACCGCCUGGGGAGUACGGCCGCAAGGUUA